AAUCAACGCUGGCGGCGCGCCUAACACAUGCAAGUCGAACGAGAAAGUGGAGCAAUCCAUGAGUACAGUGGCGUACGGGUGAGUAACACGUGGGUAAUCUACCUCUUAGUGGGGAAUAACUUUGGGAAACCGAAGCUAAUACCGCAUAAGCUCGAGAGAGGAAAGCAGCAAUGCGCUGAGAGAGGAGCCCGCGGCCGAUUAGCUAGUUGGUAGGGUAAAGGCCUACCAAGGCAGAGAUCGGUAGCCGGCCUGAGAGGGCACACGGCCACACUGGCAC
rnacentral:rRNA from 1 species